CCUAUAAGACUGGGAUAACUUCGGGAAACCGGAGCUAAUACCGGAUAACAUUUAGAACCGCAUGGUUCUAAAGUGAAAGAUGGUUUUGCUAUCACUUAUAGAUGGACCCGCGCCGUAUUAGCUAGUUGGUAAGGUAACGGCUUACCAAGGCGACGAUACGUAGCCGACCUGAGAGGGUGAUCGGCCACACUGGAACUGAGACACGGUCCAGACUCCUACGGGAGGCAGCAGUAGGGAAUCUUCCGCAAUGGGCGAAAGCCUGACGGAGCAACGCCGCGUGAGUGAUGAAGGGUUUCGGCUCGUAAAACUCUGUUAUUAGGGAAGAACAAAUGUGUAAGUAACUGUGCACAUCUUGACGGUACCUAAUCAGAAAGCCACGGCUAACUACGUGCCAGCAGCCGCGGUAAUACGUAGGUGGCAAGCGUUAUCCGGAAUUAUUGGGCGUAAAGCGCGCGUAGGCGGUUUCUUAAGUCUGAUGUGAAAGCCCACGGCUCAACCGUGGAGGGUCAUUGGAAACUGGGAAACUUGAGUGCAGAAGAGGAAAGUGGAAUUCCAUGUGUAGCGGUGAAAUGCGCAGAGAUAUGGAGGAACACCAGUGGCGAAGGCGACUUUCUGGUCUGUAACUGACGCUGAUGUGCGAAAGCGUGGGGAUCAAACAGGAUUAGAUACCCUGGUAGUCCACGCCGUAAACGAUGAGUGCUAAGUGUUAGGGGGUUUCCGCCCCUUAGUGCUGCAGCUAACGCAUUAAGCACUCCGCCUGGGGAGUACGACCGCAAGGUUGAAACUCAAA
rnacentral:rRNA from 1 species